rnacentral:lncRNA from 1 species
GGCGACAGAACCAAGGUAAUCAACCAUUUUUUCCAGCUCAAUAAUGUAUGGGUCUCACACUCAUUUUAUGGAUGUGUGUUUCUCCAGUUCAGUUUAAUAUUUUAUCACAUACAUAAUAAUACAUGAUCAUAGAGGCUGUUGCUUAAAAGGUUAUAUUUUCAUUUUAUUCCAGGUACAGGGAAGAAAGCCCAGAGGACUAAAGCAGGAAGCCAUGAAGCUUGUUGCAGUCUUUGCUCUACUGUGUCUCCUGGGGGUCAUCACCUGGGCCGAAGAGCUGCAGGACUAUGACCUGAGUCUAAAGACGCCCCAUUGCCGUCACCCAGAGUACCAGGAGUGGUACAGUGUCGGCAACAUGUGCGUCAAGUUGAUAGACCAAGCUCUUAAUUUCAAUGAAGCCGAGAGUCACUGUGCAGGCAUUGGUAAAAACAUUCACCUCGUGAGUCUGCACUGCGCCAAGGACAACUUCAGCAUUGGCCGUUUCGCCAGGGAAAUCAAAGACAGCGACUUCUGGGUGGGCGCACAGAUAAAGCGUGGACGCUGGAAAUGGACUGAUGGCAGCAACACUGAUUACAAGAACUUAAGAGGCACUCCCCCCUCCACAGGUCGCAGCUGCAUUGCAAUGCACGGAGGUGGUAAGUGGGAUGCAGUGAACUGCAACAUGAAAUUGAAUUUCAUCUGUGAAUUCAAAGAAUAAUCUGUGGAGCACCAGAGAAGAGGAACAA